CGGGAAGUAGCUCAGCUUGGUAGAGCACUUGGUUUGGGACCAAGGGGUCGCGGGUUCGAAUCCUGUCUUCCCGA
rnacentral:tRNA from 1 species